AUUGAACGCUGGCGGCAUGCUUUACACAUGCAAGUCGAACGGCAGCGCGGGCUUCGGCCUGGCGGCGAGUGGCGAACGGGUGAGUAAUACAUCGGAACGUGCCCAGUAGUGGGGGAUAGCUCGGCGAAAGCCGGAUUAAUACCGCAUACGACCUGAGUGUGAAAGCGGGGGAUCUUCGGACCUCGCGCUAUUGGAGCGGCCGAUGGCAGAUUAGCUAGUUGGUGGGGUAAAGGCCUACCAAGGCGACGAUCUGUAGCUGGUCUGAGAGGACGACCAGCCACACUGGGACUGAGACACGGCCCAGACUCCUACGGGAGGCAGCAGUGGGGAAUUUUGGACAAUGGGCGAAAGCCUGAUCCAGCAAUGCCGCGUGUGUGAUGAAGGCCUUCGGGUUGUAAAGCACUUUUGGCGGGAACGAAAAGGACUGUGCCAAUACCACGGCUCGAUGACGGUACCCGCAGAAUAAGCACCGGCUAACUACGUG
rnacentral:rRNA from 1 species